rnacentral:rRNA from 1 species
AUUGAACGCUGGCGGCAUGCCUUACACAUGCAAGUCGAACGGCAGCACGGGGGCAACCCUGGUGGCGAGUGGCGAACGGGUGAGUAACAUAUCGGAACAUACCCUAGAGUGGGGGAUAACGUAGCGAAAGUUACGCUAAUACCGCAUACGAUCUAAGGAUGAAAGUGGGGGGAUCUUCGGACCUCAUGCUCAUGGAGUGGCCGAUAUCUGAUUAGCUAGUUGGUGAGGUAAAGGCUCACCAAGGCGACGAUCAGUAGCUGGUUUGAGAGAACGACCAGCCACACUGGAACUGAGACACGGUCCAGACUCCUACGGAGGCAGCAGUGGGGAAUUUUGGGACAAUGGGGCAACCCUGAUCCAGCAAUGCCGCGUGAGUGAAGAAGGCCU